rnacentral:rRNA from 1 species
UAGGAAUAUUGGACAAUGGGGGAAACCCUGAUCCAGCCAUGCCGCGUGUGUGAAGAAGGCCUUAGGGUUGUAAAGCACUUUCAGCUGUGAAGAUAAUGACAGUAGCAGAAGAAGAAGCUCCGGCUAAAUUCGUGCCAGCAGCCGCGGUAAUACGAAUGGAGCGAGCGUUGUUCGGAAUCACUGGGCGUAAAGGGUGCGCAGGCGGUCAUGAAAGUCAGAAGUGAAAUCCCAGGGCUUAACCCUGGAAUGGCUUUUGAAACUCCAUGACUAGAGUAUUGGAGAGGUUGGCGGAAUUCCGAGUGUAGAGGUGAAAUUCGCAGAUAUUCGGAGGAACACCAAUGGCGUAGGCAGCCAACUGGACAAUUACUGACGCUCAUGCACGAAAGCGUGGGGAUCAAAC